UCGCGCGAGUACCUCCGUCAAAGAGCCGCGGUCGGGGGAGUAACGCGUGGGUAACCUACCCUGUACACACGGAUAACAUACCGAAAGGUAUGCUAAUACGGGAUAAUAUAUUUGAGAGGCAUCUCUUGAAUAUCAAAGGUGAGCCAGUACAGGAGGGACCCGCGUCUGAUUAGCUAGUUGGUAAGGUAACGGCUUACCAAGGCGACGAUCAGUAGCCGACC
rnacentral:rRNA from 1 species